GUGGCACCGAGGGCGGCACCGUGGGGACGCCAGGGGGGCACCCCCGGGGGCAGCGGGCGCUGGAACAGGGGGUUGGUGUGGAAAUGGGGCUCCUCGUCCUCCUCCUGGGCUUCGUCAUCCUCAUCUUCAUCAUCUUCAUCAUCCUGGUCUUCAUCAUCCUCAUCUUCAUCAUCAUCUUCAUCUUCAUCAUCAUGGUCUUCGUCAUCCUGGUCUUCGUCAUCCAGGUUCUCACCCAGGUUCUCCUCCACGUUCUCCUUAUCCAGGUUCUCACCCAGGUUCUUCUCACCCAGGUUCUUCUCACCCAGGUUCUCACCCAGGUUCUCCUUAUCCAGGUUGUCCUUAUCCAGGUUCUCCUUAUCCAGGUUCUCACCCAGGUUCUUCUCACCCAGGUUCUCACCCAGGUUCUCCUCCAGGUUCUCACCCAGGUUCUUCUCAUCCAGGUUCUCCUUAUCCAGGGUCUCCUCCUCUUCAUUCUCAUGGGAGAAGCCACCAUGGACAUCACGGUCAUGGUGGUCAUCAUGGUCACGGUGGUCAUGGUGGUCAUUGUGGUCAUCUAGGGCAUUGUGGUCAUCAACGUCAUUGAGGUCAUGGUGGUCAUUGAGGUCAUCAAGGUCAUUUUGGUCAUUGAGGUCAUUGCGGUCAUCAUGGUCAUGGUGGUCAUUGUGGUCAUCGAGGUCAUCUAGGUCAUGGUGGUCAUUGAGGUCAUUGAUGUCAUUGAGGUCAGGGUGGUCAUUGAGGUCAUUGUGGUCACCAUGGUCAUGGUGGUCAGUAUGGUCAUGGUGGUCAUUGAUGUCAUUGAGAUCAAGGUGGUCAUUGAGGUCAUUGUGGUCACCAUGGUCAUGGUGGUCACUUAGAUCAUGGUGGUCACGGUGGUCAUCACGGUCAUCACUGGCCUGGUGGUCGCCAUCGUUGCCGUCACCUUCUUCUUCCUCCUGGCUGAGUCUGGGGACUUGGGGCUUGGGGGAGAUGGGACCAUCCAUGGUGGGACCAUCCGUGGUGGGACCAUCCAUGGUCACAGGUCUGGGGGAGAUGUCCCCAUCCCUGGUCACAGUCCAUGAGGAGAUGUCCCCACCCAUGGACAUGUGGGAGAUGCUCCCAAAGAGGAACUCAAAGCUUUGGUCCAUGGGAACAGCCUGGGGUGGGAUGUCCUCAUCCAUGGAUGCCUGGGAGAUGCCUUCAAACGUGGAUCCAUGGCCUUGGAGCUGCUGGGAGAUGCUCCCGGCCACGGUCAUGGACUUGGGUGGGGUGGACCCAUCUGUGGACACCUGGA
rnacentral:lncRNA from 1 species